rnacentral:rRNA from 1 species
AGUGAACGCUGGCGGUAGGCCUAACACAUGCAAGUCGAACGGCAGCACAGGAGAGCUUGCUCUCUGGGUGGCGAGUGGCGGACGGGUGAGGAAUACAUCGGAAUCUACCUUUUCGUGGGGGAUAACGUAGGGAAACUUACGCUAAUACCGCAUAAGACCUUCGGGUGAAAGCAGGGGACCUUCGGGCCUUGCGCGGAUAGAUGAGCCGAUGUCGGAUUAGCUUGUUGGCGGGGUAAAAGCCCACCAAGGCGACGAUCCGUAGCUGGUCUGAGAGGAUGAUCAGCCACACUGGAACUGAGACACGGUCCAGACUCCUACGGGAGGCAGCAGUGGGGAAUAUUGGACAAUGGGCGCAAGCCUGAUCCAGCCAUACCGCGUGAGUGAAGAAGGCCUUCGGGUUGUAAAGCUCUUUCGGCCGGGAAAAAAUCGCAUCAGUUAAUACCUGGUGUGGAUGAUGGUACCGGAAUAAGAAGCACCGGCUAACUACGUG